rnacentral:rRNA from 1 species
AACUAAUUGUAGCUCAAAACUUAAACCUACUUAAACUAUCUUAGAAAUUAAAAUAAAACAUUUAGAAUAAUUAAAGUAUUAGGCGAUAGAAAUUCUACUUGACGCUAUAGAGAAAGUACCGCAAGGGAAACCUGAAAGAAAAUUAUAAGUAAAAAAUAGCAAAGCUUAAAACUUUUACCUUUUGCAUAAUGAUUCAACUAGAAGAUAUUAGCAAAAAGAAUUAAAGUUAAAUAACCCGAAACCAGACGAGCUACCUAUCAGCAGCCCACAGAGCGAACUCAUCUAUGUGGCAAAAUAGUGAGACGACUGAUAGGUAGUGGCGAUAAACCUACCGAGCCUGGUGAUAGCUGGUUGUCCAGAACAGAACCUUAGUUCUAAUUUAAAUUUACUAAUAAACAAGCAAAUUGUAACGUAAGUUUAAAUGAUAAUCUAAAAAGGUACAGCCUUUUAGAUACGGGAUACAACCCCUAUUAGAGAGAAAAUUCUCAAAACCACAAUAGUUGGCCUAAAAGCAGCCAUCAAUUAAGAAAGCGUUCAAGCCCAACAGCAUAAAAACUUAAUGUCAUAAUAAGAAUUUAACUCCUAAUAUAAAACUGGACUACUCUAUUUUUAAAUAGAAGCAAUAAUGUUGAUAUGAGUAACAAGAAAAAUUUCUCCUUGCACAAGUGUAUAUCAAAACGAAUGAGUCAUUGAUAAUUAUCAAAACUAGUAUUAUCAAAUAUUAAUCCCCUAUUAUUAAUUGUUAGACCAACACAGGAGUGCAACUAAGGAAAGAUUAAAAGAAGUAAAAGGAAUUCAGCAAACACAAACCUCGCCUGUUUACCAAAAACAUCACCUCUAGCAUAAAAAGUAUUAGAGGCACUGCCUGCCCAGUGACUUUAGUUUAACGGCCGCGGUAUCCUGACCGUGCAAAGGUAGCAUAAUCAUUUGUUCUCUAAAUAAGGACUUGUAUGAAAGGCCCCACGAGGGUUUUGCUGUCUCUUACUUCUAAUCAGUGAAAUUGACAUUCCCGUGAAGAGGCGGGGAUAAAAUAAUAAGACGAGAAGACCCUAUGGAGCUUUAAUUAAUCAGCUUACUAAACCCUAUAAAUUUUCUACAAGAAAUAAACACAUUUUAACUAAGUUGAUAAUUUAGGUUGGGGUGACCUCGGAAUACAACUCAACCUCCGAGAAAAUAUAUUAAGACCCACAAGUCAAAAUUAUAACAUCAUACACUGAUCCGCCAUCGGCGAUCAACGAAACAAGUUACCCUAGGGAUAACAGCGCAAUCCUAUUUAAGAGUUCAUAUCGACAAUUAGGGUUUACGACCUCGAUGUUGGAUCAGGACAUCCCAAUGGUGCAGCAGCUAUUAAUGUGUUCGUUUGUUCAACGAUUAAAGUCCUACGUGAUCUGAGUUCAGACCGGAGUAAUCCAGGUCGGUUUCUAUCUAUUCACAAGUCUUCCCUAGUACGAAAGGACCAGGAAGACGAGGCCUACUUAAAAUAAGCGCCUUUAUAAAACAGAUGAACUAAUCUUAAUCUUACAUACUCCAUCAAAUGCCUAAGAUAAAGGAUC